rnacentral:rRNA from 3 species
AGACCCGAAACCCGGUGAUCUAGCCAUGGGCAGGUUGAAGGUUGGGUAACACUAACUGGAGGACCGAACCGACUAAUGUUGAAAAAUUAGCGGAUGACCUGUGGCUGGGGGUGAAAGGCCAAUCAAACCGGGAGAUAGCUGGUUCUCCCCGAAAGCUAUUUAGGUAGCGCCUCGUGAAUUCAUCUCCGGGGGUAGAGCACUGUUUCGGCUAGGGGGCCAUCCCGGCUUACCAACCCGAUGCAAACUGCGAAUACCGGAGAAUGUUAUCACGGGAGACACACGGCGGGUGCUAACGUCCGUCGUGAAGAGGGAAACAACCCAGACCGCCAGCUAAGGUCCCAAAGUCAUGGUUAAGUGGGAAACGAUGUGGGAAGGCCCAGACAGCCAGGAUGUUGGCUUAGAAGCAGCCAUCAUUUAAAGAAAGCGUAAUAGCUCACUGGUCGAGUCGGCCUGCGCGGAAGAUGUAACGGGGCUAAACCAUGCACCGAAGCUGCGGCAGCGAACGUAUCACUUAAAGCGAUUCAGCGGGUUACGAUUGACGGAGCGAAGCGACGUCAAAGCGUAUACAAAGUCGAGUCGGUUUAAGGAUACG